CGGCAGGGUAGCCUAGUGGUUAGAGUGUAGGGGCGGCAGGGUAGCCUAGUGGUUAGAGUGUAGAGGCGGCAGGGUAGCCUAGUGGUUAGAGUGUAGGGGCGGCAGGGUAGCCUAGUGGUUAGAGUGUAGAGGCGGCAGGUAGCCUAGUGGUUAGAGUGUAGAGGCGGCAGGUAGCCUAGUGGUUAGAGUGUAGGGGCGGCAGGGUAGCCGAGUGGUUAGAGUGUAGAGGCGGCAGGUAGCCUAGUGGUUAGAGUGUAGAGGUGGCAGGUAGCCUAGUGGUUAGAGUGUAGGGGCGGCAGGGUAGCCGAGUGGUUAGAGUGUAGAGGCGGCAGGUAGCCUAGUGGUUAGAGUGUAGGGGCGGUAGGGUAGCCUAGUGGUUAGAGUAUAGGGGUGGCAGGGUAGCCUAGUGGUUAGAGUGUAGAGGCGGCAGGGUAGCCGAGUGGUUAGAGUGUAGAGGCGGCAGGGUAGCCUAGUGGUUAGAGUGUAGGGGCGGCAGGUAACCUAGUGGUUAGAGUGUAGAGGUGGCAGGUAACCUAGUGGAUAGAGUGUAGAGGUGGCAGGUAGCCUAGUGGUUAGAGCAUUGGACUAGUAACCGGAAGGUUGCAAGUUCAAAUCCCCGAGCUGACAAGGUACAAAUCUG
ensembl:lncRNA